ensembl:lncRNA
GAAAUCUCUGAGGUAUCCAUCACUGUCUUCAUGUGAACGAGGGGGGGAGGAGGAGAGGAUUUCCUGUCUUCUGGCAUCCUCUAAAGGUUGGUAUUUGGAAGGAUAAGCUCUUCAGAAGAGAUGCUGCUGGUAUUUCUUCCCUAGGAAGCAUCCCCCAAGGGCUCCAUGGGACCGCAGAACAACUCAGGAUGAAGGAGACCUUGGGCUUAGCACCUUGUCCAUCCUCCGGAUAAUCCUUCACCAAAAUGCCACGUAGGAGUCCCACCACUGCUGUCUGUUCUUUUCACUGUACAGAGAGUGGUGGGAUCAGGACAUUGCAGUAGAAUGUUUGUACGGUUUUACUACUGAAGGAGAAAAAAAGAAGUCUGGCUGGCACUCUUACACGCCAGGACAGAUCAGGCAUGACCCAGUGCUCCAAGGAGUCAUUUCUUUCCUCCUCAAGGCAACUGCACAGCACAUCUUUCUGGAAGGUCUACAGAUAAUCAGCCCUCCCUGUUACCCACUAUGAACGAUUCCAUAUUCUCUAUGUGUACAUUUAAUACAUCCCUUUAAAUUGAUGCAGAAUGCUGGGGAUCCCCGCUCUUUUUCUCUUAGCUCUUUAACGUGACUGAUGAACAGUUGGCUAAUCCCUUCCCUCAGUAUGAGCAUCUUCGAGUCAGAAUCAGUGGAAAGACCCCGAGGAAAUUAUUUUUGGCCUCCUAGUAAUAAAGGAGUAGGUCGUGCAAACCAAACA